AUAUUACCUGGCGUAGAGGUCAACCGUGAUCAAGAAGGCGGUUCCUCCGGGGCGAGGCUCUCCCAUUACACUACGGCUGAGCUGACCCUUGCGAUUAUCCCUAAUGUGGAUAAAUCGGACGCGUAAUUUUUGGUAGUCGGGACUGCGUACGCGCCAUACGCUGUCCCGG
rnacentral:snRNA from 1 species